AACUAACGCUGGCGGCGUGCCUAACACAUGCAAGUCGAACGAGAAAGUCGGCUUCGGCCGAUGAGUAAAGUGGCGCACGGGUGAGUAACGCGUGGAUAAUCUGCCCUUUAGUUUGGAAUAACGUACCGAAAGGUGCGCUAAUACCGGAUAAUACUGAGUGACUACUGUUGUUUAGUCAAAGAAGGCUUCUGUUUACAUGCUUUUGCUGAAGGAUGAGUCCGCGUACCAUUAGCUAGUUGGUAGGGUAAUGGCCUACCAAGGCGACGAUGGUUAGCUGGUCUGAGAGGAUGAUCAGCCACACUGGAACUGAGACACGGUCCAGACUCCUACGGGAGGCAGCAGUGAGGAAUAUUGCGCAAUGGGGGCAACCCUGACGCAGCAACGCCGCGUGAGUGAGGAAGGUUUUCGGACCGUAAAGCUCUGUCGAGCGGGAAGAAAUGCAUGGUGGCUAAUAUCCAUCAUGCUUGACGGUACCGCUAAAGGAAGCACCAGCU
rnacentral:rRNA from 1 species